rnacentral:rRNA from 1 species
UACGGGAGGCAGCAGUGGGGAAUAUUGCACAAUGGGCGCAAGCCUGAUGCAGCCAUGCCGCGUGUAUGAAGAAGGCCUUCGGGUUGUAAAGUACUUUCAGUCGUGAGGAAGGUGUUAAGGUUAAUAACCUUAGCAAUUGACGUUAGCGACAGAAGAAGCACCGGCUAACUCCGUGCCAGCAGCCGCGGUAAUACGGAGGGUGCGAGCGUUAAUCGGAAUUACUGGGCGUAAAGGGCACGCAGGCGGUUAAUUAAGUUGGAUGUGAAAUCCCCGGGCUUAACCUGGGAAUGGCAUUCAAGCUGGUUAGCUAGAGUCUUGUAGAGGGGGUAGAAUUCCAUGUGUAGCGGUGAAAUGCGUAGAGAUGUGGAGGAAUACCGGUGGCGAAGGCGGCCCCUGGACAAAGGCUGACGCUCAUGUGCGAAAGCGUGGGGAGCAAACGAGGGAUUAGAUACC